UACAGAGGUCUCAAGCGUUGUUCGGAUUCAUUGGGCGUAAAGGGUGCGUAGGCGGCGCGGUAAGUCGGGUGUGAAAUCUUGGAGCUUAACUCCGAAACUGCAUUCGAUACUGCCGUGCUUGAGGACUGGAGAGGAGACUGGAAUUUACGGUGUAGCGGUGAAAUGCGUAGAUAUCGUAAGGAAGACCAGUGGCGAAGGCGGGUCUCUGGACAGUUCCUGACACUGAGACACGAAGGCCAGGGAGCAAACGGG
rnacentral:rRNA from 1 species